rnacentral:rRNA from 1 species
UGGGGAAUUUUGGACAAUGGGCGAAAGCCUGAUCCAGCAAUGCCGCGUGUGUGAAGAAGGCCUUCGGGUUGUAAAGCACUUUUGUCCGGAAAGAAAACGUCGUGGUUAAUACCCGUGCGGCUGACGGUACCGGAAGAAUAAGCACCGGCUAACUACGUGCCAGCAGCCGCGGUAAUACGUAGGGUGCAAGCGUUAAUCGGAAUUACUGGGCGUAAAGCGUGCGCAGGCGGUCCGCUAAGACAGAUGUGAAAUCCCCGGGCUUAACCUGGGAACUGCAUUUGUGACUGGCGGGCUAGAGUAUGGCAGAGGGGGGUANAAUUCCACGUGUAGCAGUGAAAUGCGUGAGAUGUGGAGGAAUACCGAUGCGAAGGCAGCCCCUGGGCCAAUACUGAGCUCAUGCACGAAAGCGUGGGGAGCAAACAGGAUUCAGAUACCCUGGUAGUCCACGCCCUAAACGAUG